CUUUCUUUUUAUUGUAAGGCGUAAAACCAGAGCUUCUUCGUUCCUGAGAGAAUUCUCUCACCGCUUACUAGUUUUUGCUUAAUAUGAAUCAGAAAUCGAGUUCCGCCAUGAAUCCUUUAGAAACUGUCAAGUUUCUUUACAGCUAUGGCGGCAAAAUUAUGCCUCGUCCAACCGAUGGAAAGCUCCGAUACGUCGCAGGUCACACUCGUGUUCUCUCUGUCCAUCGCUCGAUUUCAUUUUCAGAGCUGAUGUUGAAAUUUGGGGAAUCGUGUGGAAUUUCGGUGAAUUUGAAGUGUAAGUUGCCUAGCGAAGAUUUGGAUAUGUUGAUUUCAGUCAAAUCCGACGAGGAUCUCCGGAAUGUAAUCGAAGAAUACGAGAGCUUUUUGCCGGCGGCGAAAAUAGUAGCGGUGCUUAAUUCCGAAACGCCGGCGAACAAAGUCUCACCUCCGUCGUCUCCGAUUUCGUGCUUCGAUUUCCCGUCCGCUCCAAAAUCAAAGCGCGCCGCCGCAUCCUGUUGCAGAUCUCCGGCGGUUGGAUGUCCUGUCCUCGCCGGAAAACACCGGCGCAACAAUCCAAGGCAUUUUCAUCCCCAGCGGUAACCUGAAGUGAGCGAAAAAAAGCUAUUUAGUUUCUUCUAUUUUCUCAAAAUAAAAACACAUUUACUGAAUACACAAUUUUCUUAUUUGCACCGUCGAAUCGCAGAAGGAUUUGGAUUUAAUUUGAACACGAAAACUUCGUGAUUGGAUUGUGGAAUUUCCUCUGAGAAUUAUGAUACGGUUUGUUGAUGGAGGAUUGUGUGACUGACGACAGUCUGCAUUUGUAUUUAUUGAUUCAGUUACGAAGAGGGCAGGGCACACGUGUCAAGAAAUUUUGAGUGGGGUGGGGUGGGCCAAAGGAACACGUACACAUGCCGUUAUCCGUUGUGAAGAAUUUUGUGUGUUUGUUUGGAGGAUUGGAUUUAAAUCCAACUAUUCAUCUAAUUUUUUUUUUUUUAAAAAUAUCAAAUUAAAAAUUUAUUUUUUAUUUUUUAUAUUAUACUAAAAAUUAAUUUUAUAUUCAAAACAUCACAUCAACACCUAUUUAUAUCACAUCAUGCAA